GACGAACGCUGGCGGCGUGCCUAAUACAUGCAAGUUGAGCGAUGAAGAUUGGUGCUUGCACCAAUUUGAAGAGCAGCGAACGGGUGAGUAACGCGUGGGGAAUCUGCCUUUGAGCGGGGGACAACAUUUGGAAACGAAUGCUAAUACCGCAUAACAACUUUAAACAUAAGUUUUAAGUUUGAAAGAUGCAAUUGCAUCACUCAAAGAUGAUCCCGCGUUGUAUUAGCUAGUUGGUGAGGUAAAGGCUCACCAAGGCGAUGAUACAUAGCCGACCUGAGAGGGUGAUCGGCCACAUUGGGACUGAGACACGGCCCAAACUCCUACGGGAGGCAGCAGUAGGGAAUCUUCGGCAAUGGACGAAAGUCUGAACGGGCAACGCCGCGGGAGUGAAGAAGGGUUUCGGAUCGUAAAAAUCUGUUGGUAGAGAAGAACGUUGGUGAGAGUGGAAAGCUCAUCAAGUGACGGUAACUACCCAGAAAGGGACGGCUAACUACGUG
rnacentral:rRNA from 1 species